rnacentral:rRNA from 1 species
GAUGAACGCUAGCGACAGGCUUAACACAUGCAAGUCGAGGGGCAGCAUAGAAGUAGCAAUACUUUGGUGGCGACCGGCGCACGGGUGAGUAACGCGUAUGCAACCUACCUAUCAGAGGGGGAUAACCCGGCGAAAGUCGGACUAAUACCGCAUAAAACAGGGGCACCGCAUGGUGAUAUUUGUUAAAGAAAUUCGCUGAUAGAUGGGCAUGCGUUCCAUUAGGUAGUUGGUGAGGUAACGGCUCACCAAGCCGACGAUGGAUAGGGGAACUGAGAGGUUGGUCCCCCACACUGGUACUGAGACACGGACCAGACUCCUACGGGAGGCAGCAGUGAGGAAUAUUGGUCAAUGGGCGAGAGCCUGAACCAGCCAAGUCGCGUGAAGGAAGAAGGAUCUAUGGUUCGUAAACUUCUUUUGCAGGGGAAUAAAGUGCAGGACGUGUCCUGUUUUGUAUGUACCCUGAGAAUAAGGAUCGGCUAACUCCGUGCCAGCCGCCGCAGUAA